rnacentral:snRNA from 1 species
GGAUGUGAAAAUAAUCUGGCUGUGACAUGUGUCACCCCCAUUGAUCAUCAGGGUUCAUUCAGCUGAUCUGGCUGGCUAGGCAUAUGUCCCCUUCCUCCCUCACUGCUCCAUGUACUUCUCUCUCAGAGCUGCACACUCGGUCAAGGAAGAUGACUUUCCCCAUAGAGGAGGAACAUUCUUUGGUCAAGGGUAUAUGAGUAGCUGCAUUCCCCUGCUAGAACCUCCAAACAAGGUCUCAGGGUCCAUUUGUAGGAGAAUUUAGGGUAGUCAAGCUUCCAAGACCCCAGACACAUCCAAAUGAGGCACUGCAUGUGGUAAUCUGCCUGAA